AACGCCUGGCGGCGUGCCUAAUACAUGCAAGUCGAGCGGACAGAUGGGAGCUUGCUCCCUUGAUGUUAGCGGCGGACGGGUGAGUAACACGUGGGUAACCUGCCUGUAAGACUGGGAUAACUCCGGGAAAACCGGGGCUAAUACCGGAUGGUUGUCUGAACCGCAUGGUUCAGACAUAAAAGGUGGCUUCGGCUACCACUUACAGAUGGACCCGCGGCGCAUUAGCUAGUUGGUGAGGUAACGGCUCACCAAGGCGACGAUGCGUAGCCGACCUGAGAAGGGUGAUCGGCCACACUGGGACUGAGACACGGCCCAGACUCCUACGGGAGGCAGCAGUAGGGAAUCUUCCGCAAUGGACGAAAGUCUGACGGAGCAACGCCGCGUGAGUGAUGAAGGUUUCCGGAUCGUAAAGCUCUGUUGUUAGGGAAGAAACAAGUGCCGUUCAAAAUAGGGCGGCACCUUGACCGGUACCUAAAACCAGAAAGCCACGGCUAACUACGUGC
rnacentral:rRNA from 1 species